CAUCUACGCGCAAUCUUAUUAAUAGAUGCACAGAAGUCCCUGAUACUUCUAUAGAAUUAGCAUAAUACAAAUUAUGGAAAGGAAAAGAGCAUCUCAAAAUGAGGGGCUGAUGAAGUGGGUGAAAAGAAGUUGUAGAAUAAGAGCUCAGACCUUGUCAAUAGAGCUGAUACAUUAGUCGUCUAUCGAAUAGCGGAGACCUGUGGUGUUGGACGUUCCUUGGGUGAAUCAAGUCAACGUGGUGGAGAUGUUUUGGUCAAGUUGGCAUCUGGCCACAUGGGAAUUGCUGGGAUUCCUGUAGCAUUGCUUGCCUUUCUAAUAAACCUUUAGCAUUCAAUGGAACAAAGGAAAGUUCUAAUGCAGUAAUAACUACUUGUGGGCUCUCGAGAUGACCAUUGGUGUGUGCAUUGGUUCGCAAAAUGAGAACUUGGCGAAUCUGACUGCCUUGCUGCUGAGUGCUGUCUCAAUGUUGCGCCAUUUGUAAGUUCAAUGACAAAGCGGAGCAGAUUCAAAAUGCCAUUCUCAACACAACAGCAGAAGGGAAACAUCGUACCGCUGACCUUGGCGGCACUUCCACGACGACUGAUUUCACGGAAGCCAUUUGGGGUCAUCUUUGAAAUUUGCUUUAGUAUCGAGAGGGAUUGUUGUAUUUUCUUUUUACCCAUGCUCCAAGAUUUAUCUCAGUUUUUCUCUGGAAGAACCGAAGAGUAGUAAGAUUACAUCGGCUUGAUGGAAAAACACAUUUAAGUACGCAAGCUAGAUGCCAAAGACUAUGAAUGGGCAAUACCAGAUUCAAAGUUGCCUGA